rnacentral:rRNA from 1 species
UGGGGAAUAUUGCACAAUGGGCGCAAGCCUGAUGCAGCCAUGCCGCGUGUGUGAAGAAGGCCUUCGGGUUGUAAAGCACUUUCAGCGGGGAGGAAGGCGAUAAGGUUAAUAACCUUGUCGAUUGACGUUACCCGCAGAAGAAGCACCGGCUAACUCCGUGCCAGCAGCCGCGGUAAUACGGAGGGUGCAAGCGUUAAUCGGAAUUACUGGGCGUAAAGCGCACGCAGGCGGUCUGUCAAGUCGGAUGUGAAAUCCCCGGGCUCAACCUGGGAACUGCAUUCGAAACUGGCAGGCUAGAGUCUUGUAGAGGGGGGUAGAAUCCCAGGUGUAGCGGUGAAAUGCGUAGAGAUCUGGAGGAAUACCGGUGGCGAAGGCGGCCCCCUGGACAAAGACUGACGCUCAGGUGCGAAAGCGUGGGGAGCAAACAGG